rnacentral:rRNA from 1 species
ACUCAAAUGAAUUGACGGGGAUCCGCACAAGUAGAGGAUCAUGUGGUUCAAUUCGACGAUAAGCGAGGAACCUCACCAGGGUUUGAAACUAAGCUGCAAGGCUCAGAAAUGAGUCCGCCUUCGAGGGUGCUUAGCAGGUGCUGCAUGGUUGUCGUCAGCUCGUGCCGUAAGGUGUUCCGUUAAGUCGGGAAACGAGCGCAACCCCUGUCGCGUGUUAUACAUGUCACGCGAGACUGCCCAGACUAGAGUUCAUGAAGAAAUUCGUGGCCUAUAGUCUGGGAGGAAGGAGGGGAUGACGUCAAAUCAGCAUGGCCCUUUGACACCCUGGGCGACACACGUGAUACAAUGGCCGGUACAGAGGGUUGCCAAGCCGCGAGGCGGAGCCAAUCCCAAAAAACCGGUCCCAGUUCGGAUAAGAGUCUGCAACUCGACUCUUUGAAGUUGGAUUUACUAGUAAUCGGGGAUCAGAACGCCCCGGUGAAUACGUUCUCGGAUCUUGUACACACCGCCCGU